GGAUGGUACAGUUUGUACAAGUUGUACUGCAGCAGCGCGUGGGCGUGGCCGAUACCGGCGACGGACGGGCGACUCGGCCACCAAAUCCACGCGCCACAGGCUUCGCUGUCGACGAUCCAUUCGCCAGACAAGAAUUAUGAAUGGAGGAAGUAUUUCAUUUUACUUUUGGUCUCCCGCCUCGGCUCCGCUACCAUUGACGACUCGAACACACGGCGAGGCGGCCCUCCCACUGGCGUCUUCUUCUAGCAGGUGAUGGCCCGGACGUAAAGGUGCACGCCCUUGGCGACUCGUCAUCGGACCGUUCAUAGCACUUAGCCGUGUCGCGUCCCUCGCCAAUAUCAUUCCAUCCCGCAGCUCUGCCUCACCGCCAUCCGACGCCGACCAUGCAUCUUUCGGAGCCUUUGGCAUUUGCAAUUUAGUUCAAUCGAGAUUUUCCUAAUGAAAAACACAAACAUCGAGACGUAUUACAGAGCUUGAAUAUACGCGUGUCCAUGUGUGAAUGUCUUUUCACAUUUAUGUAAGUCGCAGCGUGAUGGAAUAUGAUUUGCCAUGAAUCAGGUCUAAUACCAUUAUCUAUCCACGUGACAAGGUUUUGCCCAAACCCGCCACCAUGAAUGGUUUUAUGCCCAACUCUGUGGAGUAGGUAUUGCUACUUCAACUAGCUCCGCCUGAAGUACUCUUCCAGGGUCGGCGACGGUCCCUUCUCGAGCGACGACUUCAACUCCUUCUCCUGGUGGAUCACCACGCCGCCGAGCGGCAUCACGUGUCGAGCUCGUACAUGUCGCCUCGGAGCGGUGGCGGCGACAACUACGCGUCAUUGCGGCAGUAGAACCGAGAUGAAGCUGGGGUUGUAUCGGGGACGCGGGUGCGGCUGACGGAGCUGAAGAGGGAGUAAGGCCUGAAGUAGAGGAUGCGUGGGAUUACGGUGGCCGGCCAUUGGAGCAUGGCUGCACUCUACUUGCCUCGAUCUUGAUGUUCGGCGGCGGUGGCAGCGUGGGAUCCACGGACACGAGGUGGAAGGGAGGAAGGAUGGCGGCGACGAGCUCACAGUCACAAUGGUUGGAUGGGAAGAUGAGCCGGAGGACGAAGGCGGCGUUGGUGACGUGCGCCUAGCUAGCUUAGCAUUUGGUCCUGACCAAAAACCAUCCGCGGUAGCGAUCUUGGGAGCCCUCCGCCUUAAAUCCGUCCCUAGUGUCCGGUUUUGAAAGUUGAAUGACGAAAAAUGAACUUGACGACAAUUUGAGAGACGAAAAAAAAACACUUUCUAAGAAAUAAACGAAGUACACACACAGGUCAAACUGCAAAGUUUGUGCAAAGUCAUAAGAGUAAAACGCUGGCAUAUAUAUCGAGUUCAGUACACCUCGCAGGGGAAUUGUUCAUCCCGCCAACAAGAAUCUUCUCUAUCGAAACAACACAACACAACACCCGAGAUCCAA